rnacentral:rRNA from 1 species
UACGGAGGGUGCAAACGUUGCUCGGAAUUACUGGGCGUAAAGCGUGCGCAGGCGGUUCUGAAAGUCAGCUGUGAAAGCCCCGGGCUUAACCUGGGAAUUGCGGUUGAAACUACAGGGCUAGAAUCUGGCAGAGGGGGGUGGAAUUCCACGUGUAGCAGUGAAAUGCGUAGAGAUGUGGAGGAACACCGAUGGCGAAGGCAGCCCCCUGGGCUGAGAUUGACGCUCAGGCACGAAAGCGUGGGGAGCAAACAGG